GCAGUCCAGUGGAAAUCCAACUCGACCGUUCGUCUCGGACGGUCGAACUCGACCGGUCCGUCGCCGAUCCGAGAGCGGCGUCGUGUCGAUCGGCGCUCUACAGACAUCCAUCCAUCCAUCCAGACAGACGGAAGCAAGCGGUUGAUGUCUCAAAGGCUAGGAAUCGAGGAGCACAGUGAGAGAAAUGAUAACUAAGCAUUUGUAAACGUAUGAAAACAAAUGCAUCACACCAGAGUGUUCAAGGAAAAGAUCAAGACAGCAAUGUAGCAUAAUGUAGUGUAUUGCACGUCUACUUACUACGUACUGGUUUUAGUAAAGGGGCGUAGCCUAUAGCUAUUUAGCAUUUUACUGUUUUGAUUACUUGACACUUGCGCGUCUUCCGUUGUUGUGUUCGUAUAUACUAAGCUGAAUAGAGUAUCUAGAUGAAA